rnacentral:lncRNA from 1 species
GAACAGUAAAAUUUUGAACUUUUUCUUGAAAUAAAGAUCGUUCGUUUAAAUAAGUACUAAGCACAACCAGAGGUAAAAUUUAAACUUCACUAAGUAAACAUUCAAAAGAUGCCAUUUUCGCAUGGCUUAUAUACAUUAACCAAAGAUAUUCUUCCGCCACUAGUCUAUUCUAUACAUGCCAUAAGAUAAUCCAAAACGUAGCAGUACCAAACAAUGGAUAGUGAUAGUGUGACUAGUUGCUGAUGAUCCCCGAGCCUGUAGCUUCCAAAUGAGAUCUAUAAAACAGAAGAAACAGAGUAAACGGAGUAAGCAUUACAAUGCUUAGUAAGUUUUAAGCAGUGUCAACAGAUAACAAUCAAAUUAUAACAUAGUUGUUCGUAUAUUUUAUUUCACUCUUCCUUCGGGCAUACCAUCCCUUUUCCGAAUAUGCACAUCUCAUCAUAUACAAUAGGCAGAUAAACUUUCAUAUAAAAGUGAGCUCAUGUGACAUAGAUAUAUCGUAUGAUUUCACAUAACCUCUCACACUGAUCCGAUGUCACAUAAUCAUAGGAAUAGUCUCAUAGAUUGCUCUCUAUGCAUCACAUAACUACCUUAUGAUUAAGUGCAAAUCAAGCUCACAUAUAAACUUGGAGUACAUACCUGUUUAACCUUUCGCAUUGAAUAUAUUUAUAAGCAAUUCUUAUUACGAAGUCUUACCCGGACAUAAUCUCCACACGAAGUUAUCGGGUCUUACCCGGACAAAAUCCCCACACGUAGUCAUCGGGUCUUUAGAGCUCGGAUAUAGUACGAGCACGAAGCUUACGGACAUUAAUCAGUGAUAAUAUUCUCGCAUAAAGCCUGCGGGGUUUUAACCCGGAUAUAGUGCUGACACAAAUGCCCUUCGGGACUUAUCACAUUUAUACACUUUCACAUCCUUCACGUUGGCCACUCGGCCCUGUCACAUAUAUACACUUUCACAUUCAUCACAUCGGCCAUUAGGCCUUAUCACAUAUAUACACUUUCACAUUCAUCACAUCGUCCAUUAGGCCUUAUCACAUAUAUACACUUUCACAUUACCAACCCUUUUAUUCAUACACAAAUAUCAACUUAGCCAAAGGCCGGUAGCUCAUUUAUCAACUGAGUGAAUACUUAUUUGUAAGGGCUCAACUAAUUCAAAGCACAUACGAAACAUACCUCAAUGUUGGGAUGUUUCAAGCGUAUUAACUGAAAUUUUUACAGCAAGAUCAUUCAUUCCCAAAUCACAUACCUUCGGAAUUUAACCGGAUAUAGCUACUCGUUCAAAUGCCUUCGGGACAUAGCCCAGUUAUAGUAACUCGCACAAAUGCCUUUGGGACUUAACCCAGAUUUAGUAACUCGCACAAAUGCCUUCGGGCUUAGCCCGGAAUUAGUAUCUCGCACAAAUGCCUUCGGAUCUUAGUCCGGAUUUAGUAUCUCGCACAAAUGCCUUCGGAUCUUAGUCUGGAUAUGGUCACUUAGCACAAAGCCUUCGGGACUUAGCCCAGACAUCAUUCAAAUAACCAUGCACAUUUAACAAUAAAUCAUGGCACAUUCGUAUUUCAUUUUCGAUAGCAAAACUCAAACACAAGACACUUAUCAUUCUUGCAAUUUCGGCUCAAUAGCCACACACAAAGAGCAUGAUUUUGAUUUGCUUAAAACAUGAUCUAAUCAAAUCAUAAUUUAAGCUCUAUUACUCAAGAACUUACAAUAUCACGAUUUAGAAUUCAAGUAUGGGUUUAAUCAAUAGCUUGUGAGCAACUAAAACAAGUUUAUCAAGGUUCACAACAUAAUCUCAAAUUCAGCACAAGCUGUUUUUCCUGAGCAAUAGUCACUAAAUUAUUUAUAACUGGAGCUACAAAACUCCAAAUCACUUUCCGUUAAUUUUUCCUGAAUAUAGACUCGUAUAUCUUCCACCCAUAAAAUUUCCAGAAUUUUAGGUUUCACCAAUCAAUACCAGAUUUUUCUUAAAAUUUCCCCUGUUUCACUGUUUGACUAAUCUGACCACUCUUCACUACGAAUCAAAUUUCUCAUUUUAAAGAAUUCAAAAUGUGUUGUAUUUGAUUUCAUUUGAAAUUAGACUCAUUAAGGAGUCUAAGCAUAUAAAUUUUAUCUUAUAACCAUUUUUUUACAAUUUAUAAUGAUUUUCUAAAAACAGAACAGGGGAUUUCGGAGUCAUUCUGACACCGUCUCACACAACUUUAAAUAUCUCAUUAUCGGAAAUUCCUUUGCUUACACGGUUUCUUUUAUAAGAAACUAGACUCAUUAAGAUUUAAUUUCAUGUCUCAUUCAGCCUCUAAUUCAAGUCCAUAUAUUUAUGGUGAUUUUCUAAAGUGACGUUACUGCUGCUGUCCGAAGCAGACUAUUUCAAAUUACCCUUAAAUUCCCAAGCUCAAACACUUAAGAACUUACCAUUUGAGCUUAGAACAUAUCAUGGCAACAUCAUAUCUUAUUAAAUCAACUCAUCAUGUCCUAUUAUAAUUGAAUUUACUCAACGUUUAAACACUUAAAACUUACCUCGGAUGUGGUCGAACAAUUUCGGCGGCUAUUCGAUCACUUCUUCCCUUCCCUUAUCCAACUUUGGUCCUCUAAGCUCUUGAGCUUAAUUUAACAAAUAAAUUGAUUUAAUCAUUUGAGCAUCAAAAGAGGAACUCAAGGUACUUAGCCCAUAUAUACAUACAUUAGACAUUAAAGUCACAUACAUAUGAAAUCAUAAAUCAAUUCAACAUAUUAGCCCACACUCUCUUUUAGCCGAUUGUCUAAGCCAAGAUAAAAGCAUCAAUAUGCUUGCCUCUAGCCGAAUACAUGCAACACCAAGCAAGAAUGAUGCAUCCAUGGCCGAGUGUCAUCUUCAUAACUUUACAAAAACAUUUGCCAUGAGCUAGCUUCUGUACUUGGUGGCCACUCCAAAUGUACAAAGAUUUUCAAUGAUAGAGCAUUAACAUACCUUAAUACAUCAAAAUAAUUAAAUUCUUCCCAUGGCACACUAAAACCGAAUAUGUCUUAUUCAAAUAUAAAUUCUCAUAUUUCAUUUAUUUAACCAUUUAACCCUCCUAUCAAAUAAUUUUCACAAACUAAUCUUAAACUCAAAAUCACAUAAAAUCGUAACACAAAAGGCAUUCAUCUAACACUUGAUUUCUAAAUUCUAACAUCAAACUCAAAUUUCUUAGCUCAUCAACUCAUGGCCGAACAUCAAUUAUUCACCAAAACAAAAAUUAACUCAUGGGUUUUAGAGAAAAUUAAGUAAGGAAUUCAAUGAUACUAAAAAUUAACAAAAACAACCUGAAUUUCACCUUGAAUUUUUGCUUCCAAAUGGCCGAAACUUCAAAGCCACAAAUUUUAUUUUCUUUCUCCUUUGUUCGGCCUCCAAGAUGAACUACAUGCAUGUUCUUUUUUUUUUAUGCCCCAUACCGUCCAUAUCAAUUGUCAAGGUUAAAUAUCAUCACAAAUACUCCAACUUACAAAAACAACUUCAAUUCGGCCCUGAAGAUACAAACAUGCAUGGCUUUCCAUUUUAUGUUUUAUAAUACUUAUAAAAAUAAUUAUCUCACAAAUAACUUUAAAAUAAACAUAUAAAGACAUCAUGCAUUAAGCCAUUACCAUCCAUAUAUUUAUUAAUGAUAUAAUUGCCAUUCAAAACCUCAAUAUUCUAAAGACAUAACACUUUAACAUUUUCAUGAUAGCAUGCUUAUUAAUCAAUUGAUGCAUUUUAAUCCUUUUUAAUGACAUAAAGAAAGAAAGAAAAAUAUUUACCAAGAGUUUCAAACUACUUGGCCGAAUAUCAAACCUCCAAACAACCAAAAAAUUUAACUCAUGGAAUGGAUAGAAUUUGAACAAAUCACCAAAAUUAUACAUAAAUUUUCAAGAAUUUCAAAGUACUUACCUCUUUCUAAAUAUUCUCCAAGCCGAAAUCAUACAAAGAAAUUUUUUUCUUCUUUCUAAUCUCAAGUUACGGCAAUGGUAGAGUGAGGAUGAACCAACUUUGUUUUUAUCACCCAUUUCUUUUAAUAUAAGUUCAUAUUUCAUAUUAUUUAUUCAUUUAACAUUUAAUUUAUUAAUAUAAAAGGCAUAUAUUUUGUAUCCCAUGCUCCUUAUUUUAUCAUACUUCCCAUGAAACACUAACUUAACAUGUUUAUGACAUGUUCUUGCCCAUCACACUUGGUCUACCAUACUUGUCAUGGCCGGCCACUACUAAUUAGGGGGGGAAAUUGACAUGCAAGUCCCCCCCUUUUAUUUCAUGCACUAAUAGAUCCUUAUGCUUUGACCUAUCACAUUUCAAAAUUUUCUCACAUAAGUCCUAUUUGAUAAAAUUCACUUACUAUUAACAAAAUUCAAACAUGAAAUUUUCACACAUGCAUAUGUACAUAUAAUGAGCAUCAACUAUGACGGUUAAUUAUCUUUAUGACUCGGUUUAGUGGUCCCGAAACCACUUUCCGACUAGGGUCACUUUAGGGGUGUCACAACUCUUCCCCACUUAAGAAAUUUUCGUCCCCGAAAAUUUCUACCGAUGCAUAGUUUGGGAUAACGUCCUCAUAUUGAAUUAUAUCCACAAAGACAUUAGCUCAUUGAUAGCAAUUGUAAUUCAUUAUUGAUUUCGCAUCGAUUUAUAAAAUCAUUUUCUUAUCUUAAAACAAAUACAUAAACAUUUCUACAAGUAUGCACAUAUAUCUCAUUUUCUUGAUUUCAUAAGUAAUAAUCACUUAACUUAAUUCACAAAUGCAUUUCAAACACAUAUUAAGCACAUAUUAACAUGUAUAAUUCACAUCAUCAACUCACAUAUUUGUAACCCACAUUUUCAUUCAUUAAUAAGCUGUAACCUAACCGAAAGUACACAUAUACUCAAACAUCCCAAUAAAUAUCCUUUAUAACUUUAUCACAUCUCAAUAUUCAACUUAACUCAUUUCCAAAAGAAAAGUCAACUUCCACGUACCUGAACAUUUAGUUCAUUUAGCACAUUCAAUCAUAUUUAACGUUACCCGUAUACAGUCGAAUAGGCAUAAAGCCUAAUAUAAUACACUGGCAUGAGAUUUAUUCUAGCACAUAACUCGUAUAUCCAAAAUUAUCAACAUUCAUUAAAAAUUCUUUCAAACUUUCGAAUGUCGAAACUUAAUCAAAAUAAUUUCUUGAACAAGAUUAACAAAAUAGUGUCCAUUCAGCAAUAGCACAUAUAGCUCUUACAAUGCCAUAUCCUAGAUAUGGUCUUACAUAUUCUCACAUAUCGAGCCGAUGCCAUGUCCCAGACAUGGUCUUACACACUAUCUCAAAUCAAUGCCUUCGUCCCAAACGAGGUCUUACAUGAAUUCCACUUCACACGCUUAGUGCCCACUGACCGAUCUCGCACUCAUAGUGCUCGGUUAAAGGAAUUCGCACACACACAGUGCCUCUAAUUAUUCACAUACAUAGUGCUCUUAUUCAUUCCUUAAUACACAUUGAUAUGACUUAACCAAGUCUAUAAACAUCAUGUAUGUACACUUUUAAACAUAUCAUCUCAUUUAAAUUUGAAUUUGUAUAGUAAUGAGCACUUAAACUUUGCUCAAAUUACCGGCACGAAGCCUACUAGGCACGAAGGCCCGAAUACACGUCACCAGCAUGAUUACUCUUCGGGACCUAGCCCGGAUAUAACACCAGCAUGAAUGCUCUUCGAGGUUUAGCACGGAUAUAUUACUAGCACGAAUGCUCUUCGGAACUUAGCCCGGAUACAUCACUAGCACGAAUGCUCUUCGAGACUUAGCCCGGAUACAUCACUAGCACGAAUGCUCUUCGAGACUUAGCCCGGAUACAUCACUAGCACGAAUGCUCUUCGAGACUUAGCCCGGAUACAUCACUAGCAUGAAUGCUCUUCGGGACUUAGCCCGGAUAUAUCACUCUCAAUUCUCAUGUACAUAUACACAUAUAGCAAUACACAUUAGUAUAUCAUUUACAUUACUUGAAUGCAAACACAACAUGCUUAUCGACCAUUCAACUUCCAGUUCCAUAGCCACAUACAAAAAUCACAUUUAUAGUCAUAACACUCUUUCAAAAUUGCAUCACUUAUACCCUUAUAAUUCAAUCCAAAUCGAAAUUCAAAUACGAGUACAUGAUACGUACCUGAUCAACUUAAUAAUUUAGGCAUAUCUAAGUGAAGUUAUAUCGCAAAUUCUCAUAGUCAGAAGCUUGCUACAGCUCGAUCGGGAUCAAGAUUCAUUGCAAUAUAGCAAACACAUUUUAAUAACCAAAAAUCAUCACACUAUCAUUUUAUCACUUUAUGGCAUGUAUAAAUAGACUCACGCGUGCUACGGUAGUCUUAGAAUCGACUAAACCGUAGCUCUGAUACCAAUAAAAUGUAACACCCCUAUCCCGUAACCGUCGCCAGAAUAGGUAAGGGGCAUUACCUGACUUGUAACUCAUGUCAGAACAGUAAAAUUUUAAACUUUUUCUUGAAAUAAAGAUCGUUCGUUUAAAUAAGUACUAAGCACAACCAGAGGUAAAAUUUAAACUUCACUAAGUAAACAUUCAAAAGAUGCCAUUUUCGCAUGGCUUAUAUACAUUAACCAAAGAUAUUCUUCCGCCACUAGUCUAUUCUAUACAUGCCAUAAGAUAAUCCAAAACGUAGCAGUACCAAACAAUGGAUAGUGAUAGUGUGACUAGUUGCUGAUGAUCCCCGAGCCUGUAGCUUCCAAAUGAGAUCUAUAAAACAGAGGAAACAGAGUAAACGGAGUAAGCAUUACAAUGCUUAGUAAGUUUUAAGCAGUGUCAACAGAUAACAAUCAAAUUAUAACAUAGUUGUUCGUAUAUUUUAUUUCACUCUUCCUUCGGGCAUACCAUCCCUUUUCCGAAUAUGCACAUCUCAUCAUAUACAAUAGGCAGAUAAACUUUCAUAUAAAAGUGAGCUCAUGUGACAUAGAUAUAUCGUAUGAUUUCACAUAACCUCUCACACUGAUCCGAUGUCACAUAAUCAUAGGAAUAGUCUCAUAGAUUGCUCUCUAUGCAUCACAUAACUACCUUAUGAUUUAGUGCAAAUCAAGCUCACAUAUAAACUUGGAGUACAUACCUGUUUAACC